rnacentral:rRNA from 1 species
GACGAACGCUGGCGGCGUGCUUAACACAUGCACGUCGAACGGAAAGGCCCUGCUUUUGUGGGGUGCUCGAGUGGCGAACGGGUGAGUAACACGUGAGUAACCUGCCCUUGACUUUGGGAUAACUUCAGGAAACUGGGGCUAAUACCGGAUAGGAGCUCCUGCUGCAUGGUGGGGGUUGGAAAGUUUCGGCGGUUGGGGAUGGACUCGCGGCUUAUCAGCUUGUUGGUGGGGUAGAGGCUUACCAAGGCUUUGACGGGUAGCCGGCCUGAGAGGGUGACCGGCCACAUUGGGACUGAGAUACGGCCCAGACUCCUACGGGAGGCAGCAGUGGGGAAUAUUGCACAAUGGGCGGAAGCCUGAUGCAGCAACGCCGCGUGCGGGAUGACGGCCUUCGGGUUGUAAACCGCUUUCGCCUGUGACGAAGCGUGAGUGACGGUAAUGGGUAAAGAAGCACCGGCUAACUACGUG